UACGGAGGGUGCAAGCGUUAUCCGGAAUCAUUGGGUUUAAAGGGUCCGCAGGCGGAUUAGUAAGUCAGUGGUGAAAUCUCUCAGCUUAACUGAGAAACUGCCAUUGAUACUGCUAGUCUUGAAUUCGGUCGAAGUGGGCGGAAUGUGUCAUGUAGCGGUGAAAUGCAUAGAUAUGACACAGAACACCGAUAGCGAAGGCAGCUCACUAGGCCUGAAUUGACGCUCAUGGACGAAAGCGUGGGGAGCAAACAGGAUUAGAUACCCUGGUAGUCCACGCCGUAAACGAUGAUUACUCGUUUUCAGCGAUAUACUGUUGGAGACUAAGCGAAAGUGAUAAGUAAUCCACCUGGGGAGUACGAUCGCAAGGUUGAA
rnacentral:rRNA from 1 species